rnacentral:rRNA from 1 species
GAUGAACGCUGGCGGCGUGCCUAAUACAUGCAAGUCGAGCGAACGGACGAUAAGCUUGCUCCUCUGAGGUUAGCGGCUGGCGGGUGAGUAACACAUAGAUCACCUACCUCUAUUACUUGGAUAACUUCGUGAAACCGGAGAUACUACCGGAUAAUAUUUUGAACCGCAGGGUUCAAUAGUGAAAGGCGGUUUGGCUGUCACUUAUAGAUGAAUCCGCGCUGCAUUAGCUGGUUGGUAAGGUAACGGCUUACCAAGGCAACGAUGCGUAGCCGACCUGAGAGGGUGAUCGGCCACACUGGAACUGAGACACGGUCCAGACUCCUACGGGAGGCAGCAGUAGGGAAUCUUCGGCAAUGGGCGAAAGCCUGACGCAGCCACACCGCGUGAGUGAUGAAGGUCUUCGGAUCGUAAAGCUCUGUUAUUAGGGAAGAACAGAUGUGGAAGUAAAUGUGCACGUCUUGACGGUACCUAAUCAGAAAGCAACGGCUAACUACGUG